AUUGAACGCUGGCGGCAUGCUUUACACAUGCAAGUCGAACGGCAGCACGAAAGAGCUUGCUCUUUUGGUGGCGAGUGGCGAACGGGUGAGUAAUACAUUGGAACGUACCGAGUAAUGGGGGAUAACUGUCCGAAAGGAUGGCUAAUACCGCAUACGCUCUGAGGAGGAAAGCGGGGGACCUUCGGGCCUCGCGUUAUUCGAGCGGCCAAUGUCUGAUUAGCUAGUUGGUGGGGUAAAGGCCUACCAAGGCGACGAUCAGUAGUGGGUCUGAGAGGAUGAUCCGCCACACUGGGACUGAGACACGGCCCAGACUCCUACGGGAGGCAGCAGUGGGGAAUUUUGGACAAUGGGCGAAAGCCUGAUCCAGCCAUGCCGCGUGUCUGAAGAAGGCCUUCGGGUUGUAAAGGACUUUUGUCAGGGAAGAAAGGGUUUGGGUUAAUACCCUAAGCUUAUGACGGUACCUGAAGAAUAAGCACCGGCUAACUACGUGCCAGCCGCCGCGGUAAUU
rnacentral:rRNA from 1 species